rnacentral:piRNA from 1 species
UGGCAGUUUGAGCAAAUUACCUUUACCUCCA